rnacentral:misc_RNA from 1 species
GGCGGUACACCCCCUACAUUACUUUAUCGAAACAAGGUACACUCGCCCGCAGCGCUGCUGCUGUGGCGCUACAUUGCUGGAGGAUCGACAUGUCAGACCCCUGCGAGUUCAAGAAUCAGGUCACCGGCGAGGUGGCUAUCCUGUCUCAAUGGAAGAAAGAAACCGCACACGAAGACACCGCAACACAGACGUCUAAGCUGAAGGUCAAAAGCCACGAAUCGCAGACGGACAUCAGCUGCUUCCAGGCGUCCGACCAACUAGACAAGGGCAUCGGAACGGAGCGGCGAUCGUUUCAAGCGUCCCUAGAGGGACUGCAGUACGUCUACAACGGGGUUCCCCACGAUAAGGCGAAGCUCUCCACCUUUCUGGAGGAGUCCAUGAACCAGUUACUGGCGGUUCUGCACCGCAAUGCCACGAGCAGCAUCUUCGAUCACUACUCCCCUGCCUGGUCGCGCAAGAACACCGCACUUUCUGUUCUCUAUACGCUCACGUCGCCUGCUGUCCAAGAGGGCAACUUGGAGGCGUUGGGGGUGACGUGGAACACUCAUGGUAACAUCGUGGCUGCUGCCUACGGCCUCAUGGAGACCUCGGGCUGGUGCUACAAGAAGGGCUACGUAUGUGUGUGGAACCUGGCACGGCCGGACCUGAGGGAGAGCCGUCCGCAUAACACCCUGGAGACGGAGACCGGCGCCACCUCCAUCGCCUUCCACCCCACAGACCCGUGCAUGCUGGCCGUUGGCACCUACAGCGGUGAGGUUGUCGUGUUUGCAAACGUGACAGAGAACUUUCCAGGAAAGUACACCUCUUCGGCAUCGGAGGUUGCGCACACCGAGCCAGUUACGGUGGUGCAGUGGGUGAAGAAUCCACAGGAGUCCCGGCAUCAUCAUCAGUAUGUUUUGUGCUCAGCGAGCCAGAGUGGACUCAUCAUCCAGUGGAGUCCGGCGAACAAGCUGGCCAAGCCGAUCGCCGCGUACAGCGUGCGGAGCCGCCGCCACCUCUCUGUCGGCAUUACAGCACUCACCUAUGGCGGUGUACAAACUCAGCGCGGCAGUUACCUCCCCGCGUUGGACGGAGUCCUUCUCGUGGGUCUGGAGAACGGUGAGGUGGGCCGCGGUCGCACAUGGCCACUGCCUAUCGAGACGAACUCCCAGGCGCCACCGACAAUCAUCCCUCUUGAACUGGACUGGCUGGAGAGCCACUGUGGCCCACUGCAGUCACUCAGCGCCUCGCCCUUCUUCCGACACCUGUUCUUGACCACUUCCUCGGACUGCAGCGCGCGCCUGUACUCGGACCUCGAGCGCUCUCCGCUCCUCACCCUCGAGUCGUCGGAGGAGACGAAAGGAUAUCUGUACGACGGCCGAUUCAGCCCGUUCCGGCCCUCAGUCGUGGCAGUGGUCUCACGUAGGUCACUUUUGCACGUUUACGAUCUCGAGAGGGACCAGCUCAAGCCAGCGUACACGGCCGCGGUGUCGGCCGACGGAGCAGGAGUGCUGACCGUGGCCUUCAACUCCACCGCAGCCGAGUGGCUGGCCACUGGCGAUGCGCGCGGCGUAGUACAAGUUUGGCGCCUACCCACAGAACUGUCACAGGUCACCGAGCUCGAGCGUGCAGCUCUUCGCUCCAGCCAGCCCACCUGUGACAGCACGAAGGAGGUGCAGGACUCGGCCGCUAUCCUAGACUUGUUCGGGUCUCGUGUGUAGAUGUAUGCCAACGCCGUUGCACUUGUUCGUUUUACGGCCUUUUUUUUGCUCCUUUAG